AUUGAACGCUGGCGGCAGGCCUAACACCUGCAAGUCGAGCGGAGCGGCGGUCGGGUGAGUAAUGCCUAGGAGUAUGCCUGCUAGUGGGGGAUGACGUACGGAAACGGGCGCUAAUAACGCAUACUUUCACACGAGCAUACGUGGGAUUAGCUAGCUGGUGGGGUAAAGGCCUACCAAGGCGACGAUCCGUAACUGGUCUGAGAGGAUGAUCAGUCACACUGGAACUGAGACACGGUCCAGAAUCCUACGGGAGGAAGAAGUGGGGAAUAGUGGAAAAUGGGAGAAAGCCUGAUGCAGCCAUGCCGCGUGUGUGAAGAAGGUCUUCGGGUUGUAAAGCACUUUAAGUGGGGAGGCGUUACCAACAGAAGAAGCACCGGCUAACUUCGUGCCAGCAGCCGCGGUAAUUC
rnacentral:rRNA from 1 species